GGGGGGGGGGGAGAGAACACUUAGGCUGCCACUGAAAGAGUUAAUAACCUCCGUCCCUUCCCCCAACCCUGCUUUGUCCUUUUAAAACCUGCCUGGAUAUCCGAUUGGGACUCUGACGGGGAGGAGGAGCUACACUAAUGAAUUAAUACACGCGGGAGCAAGAGUAGCUCACCAGAAUGCAUACGCGUCGUACCACAUGGCAGAACAGGGAUCAAAUAAGCCUGUUCAGAGAGCUUGUUUGGAUCAGGAUGCUCUGUGUGGACUCCCAUGAAGUGUGGAAUGCUACAGCUGUCAUGAGCCUGCUGAACUGAAUUAGCUGAUUAUGAAUUUAUGACACAGUAGCCAGUUGAAAAUGCGUCUCUAAUUUCAGCUUUAAUGAUAAGCAACAGGUUUAAGCAAACAGUCUCACCGAAAACACAGAAGCAAAUAGUCAAGGCACAAAAGUCCCAUCAAUAGCCAAUAAACCAGGCCUUCUAGCAGAAUUUCAAAGGUCUAGAUUCCGGAAUCACAAUCCACCAGACAAGUCACAAAGGCUGAUUAGAUGCAUUGUCUCCAGCAAUCUGCUCAGGGCACAAACUACAGAAUGUAUAGCCAACAGCCAGGUGCAAUCAAUCAAUGCUCCACUCCUGCUAGCUGCUACAAAUUGUCAGUCUCUCGCUGCCUUCUUGCUGAAUACCAGCCGCUGCUUCUCAACUCCAUAACCUGCCGUUGAAGCUUCUCUCGCCUACAUUCUCUGGGAGACAACGGCCGCUCAACCUCUUGCUCGGACUCUGACCCUUCCCUCUGAAGACGUCUCCGCCCCGUUGGCUCCUCCCAUGGCAACCACUCACCCUGCCCCCUCUCGGAUGCCUCAGAUCAAGGACCUGACCCUCCUCAGAUGUCUCCCUGCUUCCCAAGGCAGAGCAGGAGGAUGAGUGUGGAGAAGAAAGACAAGCGAGGAGGAUGGGCGGGCAGUUCUGAAGCUACAAAGUUGCCAUUAGAAGUUACUGUGUGGCGCAGAUUAUGUUUCAGGAGGAGAGGAUGCAGAGAACCCCCACUAGCCCACCCCGAAACAGCAAGCAGGGUGCGGAGAGCAUCUGGGUGUGUUUUCUAAUUCAUUCUGAACAAGAACCACUCAAAACUGUGGAUUCUAAGCAGGUGUGGGCACUUGCCAUGGGCAGGUUCUUGGUGCAAAAAUAUGGUCCCAUGAAAUUGUUUUAACUGUUUAUUCUGUGGAAUUGUUUUGUUUUUACUCAGUUUUAUAUUUGUUGUUUUUAAAUUGUGCACAUCGACUAUUGAUACACAUCAGGUGGUAUAUAAAUGUGAUAAAUAAAUAAAAUAAAUAAAAUACUGGGAUUCAAAGCUGAA